rnacentral:misc_RNA from 1 species
GAUGAAGAACGUAGCGAAAUGCGAUAAGUAAUGUGAAUUGCAGAAUUCAGUGAAUCAUCGAAUCUUUGAACGCACAUUGUGCCCGCCAGCAUUCUGGCGGGCAUGCCUGUUCGAGCGUCAUUUCAACCCUCAAGCUCUGCUUGGUGUUGGGGCCCUACGGUUGACGUAGGCCCUUAAAGGUAGUGGCGGACCCUCUCGGAGCCUCCUUUGCGUAGUAACUAACGUCUCGCAUUGGGAUUCGGAGGGACUCUUGCCGUAAAACCCCCAAAUUUUCUAAUGGUUGACCUCGGAUCAGGUAGGAAUACCCGCUGAACUUAAGCAUAUCAAUAAGCGGAGGA